GAUGAAGAACGCAGCGAAAUGCGAUAACUAAUGUGAAUUGCAGAAUUCAGUGAAUCAUCGAGUCUUUGAACGCACAUUGCGCCCCCUGGUAUUCCGGGGGGCAUGCCUGUCCGAGCGUCAUUGCUGCCCUCAAGCACGGCUUGUGUGUUGGGCUCCGUCCCCCCGGGGACGGGCCCGAAAGGCAGCGGCGGCACCGAGUCCGGUCCUCGAGCGUAUGGGCUUUGUCACCCGCUCUGUAGGCCCGGCCGGCGCCAGCCGACAACCCAUCAUCCUUUUCAGGUUGACCUCGGAUCAGGUAGGGAUACCCGCUGAACUUAAGCAUAUCAAUAAGCGGAGGA
rnacentral:misc_RNA from 1 species